rnacentral:rRNA from 1 species
UACGUAGGGUGCAAGCGUUGUCCGGAAUUAUUGGGCGUAAAGAGCUCGUAGGCGGUCUGUCGCGUCUGCUGUGAAAACCUGGGGCUUAACCCCGGGCCUGCAGUGGGUACGGGCAGACUAGAGUGCGGUAGGGGAGACUGGAAUUCCUGGUGUAGCGGUGAAAUGCGCAGAUAUCAGGAGGAACACCGGUGGCGAAGGCGGUUCUCUGGGCAUGUCCUGACGCUGAGGAGCGAAAGUGUGGGGAGCGAACAGG